AGAAAUUAUCAAACUUACUUUAAUUUGAAACAGUUAAGAUUUUUGUUUAAAUUUAUUUUUUGAACUGGUAAUAAUUUUACAUGUUUCAAAAUUCCAAAAAUAUAAAAUGAUAAAGAGUGAAAAUUAUUCCUCAUCACUGUCCUCCCAAUUCUUCUGGCCAACCAGUAUGCCACUUUUACCCUUUCAGAGAUUAUAAAAUCCUCAAAAUAGAGUAAGCACAUGUUACAAGACAACUAGAAGGGAUUCCAAAUUUCUAAACACAAGAUAACUAUACACAUAUAUAUUCCUCUGUGUGUAUGUAAAAUUUAGUGUACACUAUGUAUGUGUAGACACACGUGUAUAUUUUAAGAAAAAGCUGCAAGGAAAAUUAGUAAAAUCCUAAUGGUAAGGACCAUCUAUGGAUGGCUAAAGUAUGAGGAAUUUUACACAAGUUUUCAUUUUUUUUUUACUUUUAUGCAUUUUCCAAGUUUUGCUACAAAGAACUCGCAUUACUUUUAUGAACAGAAAAAAACAUGUCUUUUCCCUAGUUAACAGUAAUUUCCACGGAGGAGUUUCUUAUCUGUUUCAAAAUAUCUACAAGGAAAUCAGUAGGAAUAUCAUGCUUAGAAAAUGUGAACUGAAAUGAGAAACAGAAAAUAUGCAAAGAUCUGAAACACUUCUGGUCCCAAGCAUUUCGAUAAGGAAUAUUCAAGCUGUAUAUAGAGUCUUCAUUUUUAAUGAAUUUUUAUGAUCACCAUUCCACCAUAAAUGACUUAGCCAGUUCCCCAUGGUGGACAUGGAGGUUCUUUCCAAAUUUUUACUUUUAAAAUCAAUAGCAUAAUGAAAACCAUGUAGCCUGCACACAUAUAAAUAUAUAUGUAGGAUUCAUUCCCAGCAGGUUUGGUGAGACAAAGGGUUUAUGUAUUUGUAAUUUAGUGACUGAUAAACUGCCCUUCAUAGAAGAUGUAUAAGAACCUUCCCACACCCCCUUUGAGAACUCAAGGCUUGUUGAGUUCCAGUUGAUUGCUUCAUCCCAGCUUACCACCCUGUGGGGCUGCUAUAACCUCAGCCAACCCCAUGCCCCCUCAGAGAAGUAUCAACUGUGACCCCUUCAGGACUGGCCAUUUUGGGGGCCAAGGUGGAGGGAAUGAGGCAAUCACAGGCCUGACUUCCAGAGCUGUCUAGAACCAUGCUGUCAUUUUUGGUCCCACUGCUUCAGAGGGGAGGAGCUUUCCUGUCUGGAUUCCCAAGCCUGUGCCCCAAACUGCUGGUGGAGCAGAAAGGAGGAAUGAUCCAGAAUAGGGUUUUGGUACCAGACUGUUUGGUUCACACUCUGGCUGGGCCACUUGGUAGCACAUUACUUCUCCUCUUAGGGCCAUCCUGCACUGUUGGUGGCAGUGGGGAUGAAGUAAGCAAAUCCGAAAUGUUUACAUGGCAAAAUCAACAGGACCUCUAACUCCAUGGAGUGGGGAAGGGGAGAGGUCAAGAAGACUGGUUUUCUGGCUUCCAUGAUGGGAUGGCAAGUGGAAACAGCCUCCAGGAAAGGGAUCAGGGAAGCAGAGACUAGUCUGGGUGGAAAAUGAGUUUUGUUUGGGGUAGGCUGGGUUUGGGGAGCUUUCGGCACACCUCGGGGAGUUGCCCAGUAGCACACAGCAGUUGUUUGGGUCUGAAGCCCAAAUCUCAGAAGCACCAGACUGAUUUGGUGGUGAGCAGCACAAAGCUAGGGAUGUAGAUGACACCUGGGGAGGGCGUGGAGCACAAGGUGGACUCUAGGACCCCAGCAUUUAGGAAGGGUGACGGGAGGUUGAGAAGUCCCUGAAGAGUUAGAAGGAACCCCACAAUGCAAGGAGAUGGAGCUCUGCAAAGAGGUUAGCAGGCUUCACAGUCCUGGGGAUGAAGAGAGACGACACCAGAGGUAGUACCUUGGACAGUGGUUGCAGUGGGUUCUGUGAAGCAGUGGGGGCGGACAGCAGGUCUGAGGUGUGAGCUGCCACCAAGGGAAUAGGGAGCACAAGCGAUUCUCCCAAGAGCUUGAAGGAGAAAAGCAGCAGAUACGGCUAGCUGCCUCCAUCAUCCACCAAGGGAAUAGGGAGCACAAGCAAUUCUCCCAAGAGCUUGAAGAGAAAAGCAGCAGCUACGGCUAGCUGCCUCCAUCAUCCACUUCCCAGGACUUUUCUCUCCCACCUGUCUCCACCACAGAGGUUAGAAAGGUAAAUACGAGGUUUCUAAGCCCCGUUGUUAUUAGGGGUGGCCCCCUGACCCAUCUGUGGCCAGUGAGACUAAGGGGGGCAUGUGCUGCAGGCUUCUGGGAAUGUUUUUCCUUUAAACACCAUCAGCGGUAAGUGUUGGCCUGCCCAUUCCCCCUUCUUUCAGUCUUCACUGUGGAUGCAAUGGCUGGAGCCAUAGGAGUCUCCUCAUGACCACAAUGGAAAGGUUGAGAGAUUGCAGAAAACAUCGACUGUGACACAGCUGAGCCACUGAAAAGACAGCCUUUGAACAAAGCCUCAUCUGUUUAAGCCAUGGUCAGCUGGGUGCUGACAUCAAAUUCUAACUCCACCACUUCCUAGCUUGGGCUGGUUACUUUUGUUCUAGUUACCACUAACUUUUGUCCUGUGCCAAAUUUUGCCUAUCUAUAAAAUGGUACUAACUCACAGAACUAUUAUUGUGGCAGUGUCGGAGGGUGCAGCAUUUAGCUAUGCGAAUGGAGGUUAUCUAAGGAGACAGAAGUGGCGCAGUCCAAGGUAGGAGGCCAGAGUUGCUGUGAAAAGUGAGAGCUGACACGGCAACGUUUUGAGGACAACCCCGAAGAGGUAAGUGCAGAGAAACGAACUUGGGCCAUCCACAGGGUCCUGUUGAACCUCUAGAGAUGAACCACAAAGCUCUGGCUCUGGCAUCCUGGAGGCCAGCUCUGCCUUGAUUGGAUAGCUGAGUUGUGACACUCCCAGCAUCCAAAAAGCAAAAACGGACACGGGAAGUUCUUUUAUUUUUUUCGAGAUGGAGUCUAGCUCUGUCACCCAGGCUGGAGUGCAGAGGCACUAUCUCAGCUCACUGCAAGCUCUGCCUCCCAGGUUCACGCCAUUCUCCCGCCUCAGCCUCCCGAGUAGCUGGGACUACAGGCGCCCGCCACCACGCCAGGCUAAUUUUUUGUAUUUUUAGUAGAGACAGGGUUUCACCGUGUUAGCCAGGCUGGUCUCGAUCUCCUGACCUCGUGAUCUGCCCAUCUCGGCCUCCGAAAGUGCUGGGAUUACAGGCGUGAGCCACCGCGCCUGGCCUGACACGGGAAGUUCUGAUGCUAAUGCGUUCCAAUGCUCAACCAUUCCAACAUGGUUAUUCAAAUUGCUGUUUUGGGGCCAGGCGCGGUGGCUCACUCCUGUAACCCCAGCACUUUGGGAGGCCGAGGCAGGUGGAUCACGAGGUCAGGAGAUUGAGACCAUCCUGGCUA
rnacentral:lncRNA from 1 species